ACAGCUACACCAAGCAGCCACUGGGGGGCAGUCCAACACAGCAGUACAGCCGCGUCAGGUUUGUGCCAUUGGGCUGUGUGCGCACAUGGUUUGAGUGGCACGCUGAGGUUUGCCUUUCCGCCGACCACAAAAGCAGAUUGGAGAGAAGAUUAGUCCUCGCUUGGCCGAGGCUGAAAAGAAAUGAGAGAGACUCCCACAAUAAACUCUAGCUGCUCCGCAGCAGCAGCAGGACUGAAGUGAGCAGAGGCUUCUCUCCAAAGAGCCCCAGGCACAGCUGCCUCGCCCCGAGUGAGACUGGAGCAUGCCCCCGGCCAGAUGCACACAGCGCCCAGGAAAAGUCAACUGGAAGAAUGGAGGUGUGCUGGAGGCGCAGAGAGCGAGAAAGAGAGAGAGGAGUGGAGAAGUUGGAGGAGGGUGGUUCUCCAGUCCAAUAGCCCGCAGAGUGGCUCUCUCCUGGGAAUCCUGCUCAUUGUUUGCAAACACAGAACCACAGUGUCUUUGGUCCAGUUGUCUCUAUUUGCCGAGCUGUCAUCUGCUGCCAGAAUGUCUGCUGCACAAUGACUAUAGCAGAUCUACAGCAUCACAGG